UGUGUCCUACGGGACGCAGCAGUGGGGAAUAUUGGACAAUGGGGGGAACCCUGAUCCAGCGACGCCGCGUGAGUGAAGAAGUAUUUCGGUAUGUAAAGCUCUAUCAGCAGGGAAGAAAGAAAUGACGGUACCUGACUAAGAAGCCCCGGCUAACUACGUGCCUGCAGCCGCGGUAAUACGUAGGGGGCAAGCGUUAUCCGGAUUUACUGGGUGUAAAGGGAGCGUAGACGGUAUGGCAAGUCUGAUGUGAAAACCCGGGGCUCAACCCCGGGACUGCAUUGGACACUGUCGUACUAGAGUGUCGG
rnacentral:rRNA from 1 species